GUUCAUUGAGAGUUGGAGCUCAAUUCGUGUACUAAUAUUUUGGAAUGGUUUCCUUAUAGUUCCAGCUGAAGGGAUUGCUCUCCUCAUUUAUGGCACCAAACCACCACAUAGCCCUUUGCUAGUUGGGUACUUCAGUGAGUUACGCAACUUGCUAAAGGUGUAUCAUGGUUAUGAUCAUAAGUUGUAGUUUAGCUUAUGCUGGGGAAGACAGUCCUACUGAUAAACUAUGUCCAAGGCCGUGGAGAUGUAUUCCUCCAUCUAGUUGACUUGAUUUAUAAUCAAUUAUGUUUUUGACUUGUUAUUUGCGGUUAGAAAGAUCUUCAGAUUCUCAUGUUACUACGAUUUUGAGGAUACACUCUUGUGAAGAACUUAAAGGGCCUGUUUCAAAGCUUUGGGUUUGACGCAUAUCCAGUAGUCAUUAGCCUUAUCAUCUUUCAGGUGUUGAUGGUAAGAAAGGUGGUGGUGGGCAUCAAGCGAACCUUACCCCUUGGAAGGAAAGACCCUGCAAGUGGAGGCAUCAGGUCAAAAAAAACUCCAAAAUCUACACUUCAGUGGUGAUUAUUUUGCAGAGUAAGGCUAACCCCUAUGGGCUAGAUUGAACUGCUAGAUUGGCCAAAAAGUGUUGCAAAUCAAGAAAAAAAUGUGGGGAAAAAGUUAAUACUACUUCUGGAUACUUCUCUCUCCUAGCAACUGCUCGCAGUCCAAGUAGCAGCGAGAUUGAAACGCGCUCUAAAAAUAAUUUUAUGCUGAACCGUUCAGCGCUCAUAUUUUUUGUUAUAGUAUCAUAUUCCGAUGGUGUACAAUACUAGCUGAUUCAUUUUCUCACUCUAGGUCAUGUCCUAUUCGUACACUAAAAAAUUUUGAUACAUUUUCCCACUCUCUGUCCACCUAAGCUUCAAUUCUUAUAGUCCUCCCUAAUUACACUGUCCUCUCUGCAAUUCUGUCCCCACAUCCUCCUCGAUCCGCAAAUAUAAAAUCACAGUUCUUCAAUGCAAUGGAAGAGUACGAACACCUCGGGUGAAGAAAAGCAUAUUUUUGUGCUGUUUUCUGCACGAAAAUGAUAAUGGUUCGGUGUUGUCAUUGUUUUGUUCAAAACGCUGUAUCCUUCAGCGUUGGACGAUGUACUGUUCAGCGCCACACCAUAGGAUUUAGGAGGUUGACCAAUCUAACUGCUGCUAGAUAUAUCUAGUCCAGGGGUUAGCCUAAGAAAAAGACAUUCAUUGAUCACGUGUUGUCUUUUUUUAUCCCUCAUGUUAGGGCCACAAUCACUGGGUUGCAUUUCUUUAAUCUGUAAUUUAUUUAUCUUUCAGAUUUGAAACCUUGAUGUUGUAAAGUAAAUUCAGUUAUAAA